ensembl:snRNA U6 U6 spliceosomal RNA
GUGCUCACUUUGGCAGCACAUAUUCUAAAAUUGGAAUGACAUAGAGAAGAUUACCAUGGCUCCUAUGCAAAAAUUGAAGAAGAAAGGGGAGAGAGGGAGCGAAGAAAG